UCGCAGGGUGUUUUCCAUAAUAUACUAUGCAUACUACUGUGCACAAAGGAUGCUUUGAUUUAAUUUAUUAAAAUACUAACAGUUGUAUUUUGGUCCAUGUUCAAUUACCUGUCCAUGUUGCUAACUUAAAUAUAGUUUUUUUCUGUAGGUUGGCAUCGAUUCCUGUUGCUUCUGGGCAACACCGUUUUCAGUACUUCAAACUACGUUGAUGUUAUCUUUGCAGCAUGGGAGAACUUUUCAUAUAGUUAUUUUGGAACCGUGACACUAAUACCUGCAGAAACUUUUCACAGCUUUUUGGAAUUGUUAUUCUGGCAUAAAAUUUCAUCCCAUCAUCUGAGAGUUACGAUUCAAGGUGACAAAAUAAUUGUUUUAUUGUGUUGACUAUAAAAGCAAUAGGUGGUGAUCUCACUAUAUAUAAGCGAACUUCUUUGAUGAACUACAUGAUGAAUGAAACAAUACAGGUUAUUUCCUGAAUAAAUAUAGAACCACAUAUUCUUCA